UUGAAAGGGAAACGAUUGAAGUUAGUCGUACCUGUGGGUAAUCAGCCUUUUGGGUGUGAUUUUGUGGAGUGUGAGGAGUUAAACGCCUUCAUGCCUGCAUAUUCGUGCACUUUGGGUGUAUUUACCCGUGUGGUAAGUUAACAUCAAUUUCGGUGGUCAUAAAAUGGCUGGAGGAAUGUAGCUUCGAUCUUGUAUUGAAGUGUUAUAGCCUUCGGUAGAUGUGAUGAUCGGGAUUGAGGAUUGCAACGGAUACCCUUCGGGGCUACCUGUCUGAUCUCUGAUCGUUGCUCUGGUGCCGAAAGCUUGCUUACGGAUAUCAAAGUCGAUGGUCAAUAGGUUAGAACGGGUUAAAUUCGUUAAGGAUGUUGACGUA
rnacentral:rRNA from 1 species